rfam:Operophtera brumata OBRT01_Sc05415, whole genome shotgun sequence.
CACUAGGCCCUUUUCAGGGCCACUUUACCGACACUCUUCAAGUCAU